GAUGAACGCUAGCUACAGGCUUAACACAUGCAAGUCGAGGGGAAACGACAUCGAAAGCUUGCGUUUUGGUGGGCGUCGACCGGCGCACGGGUGAGUAACGCGUAUCCAACCUGCCCACCACUUGGGGAUAACCUUGCGAAAGUAAGACUAAUACCCAAUGAUAUCCCACGAAGGCAUCCGAAUGGGAUUAAAGAUUUAUCGGUGAUGGAUGGGGAUGCGUCUGAUUAGCUUGUUGGCGGGGUAACGGCCCACCAAGGCAACGAUCAGUAGGGGUUCUGAGAGGAAGGUCCCCCACAUUGGAACUGAGACACGGUUCAAACUCCUACGGGAGGCAGCAGUGAGGAAUAUUGGUCAAUGGGCGAGAGCCUGAACCAGCCAAGUAGCGUGCAGGACGACGGCCCUAUGGGUCGUAAACUGCUUUUAUAAGGGAAUAAAGUGAGUCUCGUGAGACUUUUUGCAUGUACCUUAUGAAUAAGGACCGGCUAAUUCCGUG
rnacentral:rRNA from 1 species